rnacentral:rRNA from 1 species
UACAGAGGAUGCAAGCGUUAUCCGGAUUGAUUGGGCGUAAAGCGUCUGUAGGUGGCUUUUUAAGUCCGCCGUCAAAUCCCAGGGCUCAACUCUGGACAGGCGGUGGAAACUACCAAGCUGGAGUACGGUAGGGGCAGAGGGAAUUUCCGGUGGAGCGGUGAAAUGCGCAGAUAUCAGGAGGAACACCGGUGGGGAAGGCGGCCGACUGGGGCGGUACUGACGCUGAGGAGCGAAAGCGUGGGGAGCGAACCGG